CCUGGUGGUCUAGUGGUUAGGAUUCGGCGCUCUCACCGCCGCGGCCCGGGAGAUCGGAAGAGGACAG